UGGGACGUCGUCCAAUUGGCAGGACAUGCGGCUCUGGUCCGUAGAAUCGGGGUUCGAAUCCCUGCGUCCCAGCCA
rnacentral:tRNA from 2 species